CUUAAAGGAAUUGACGGGACCCGCACAAGCGGUGGAUCAUGUUGUUUAAUUCGACGAUACGCGAAGAACCUUACCAGGUCUUGACAUCCCCUGCAAAGCUAUGGAGACAUAGUGGAGGUUAUCAGGGAGACAGGUGGUGCAUGGUUGUCGUCAGCUCGUGUCGUGAGAUGUUGGGUUAAGUCCCGCAACGAGCGCAACCCUUAUUGCUAGUUACCAUCAUUAAGUUGGGGACUCUAGCGAGACUGCCAGUGAUAAACUGGAGGAAGGUGGGAAUGACGUCAAAUCAUCAUGCCCUUUAUGACCUGGGCUACAAACGUGAUACAAUGGCUGAAACAAAGGGCAGCGAAGGAGCGAUCUGGAGCGAAACCCAAAAAGCAGUCUCAGUUCGGAUUGAAGUCUGCAACUCGACUUCAUGAAGUCGGAAUCGCUAGUAAUCGCGGAUCAGAACGCCGCGGUGAAUACGUUCUCGGGGUUU
rnacentral:rRNA from 1 species